rnacentral:tRNA from 1 species
GCAGAUGUGGUGGAAUUGGUAGACACGCCGUCUUGAGGGGGCGGUGGCGCAAGCCGUGUCGGUUCGAGUCCGACCAUCUGCACCA